rnacentral:rRNA from 1 species
GAGGAAGAACCAAAAGGGAUUCCCAUAGUAGGGGCGACCGAACUGGGAAGAGUCCAGCGCAGAACCUCCCGGGCCACCCGGCCUGCGGCGGAAUGUUGCGUAAAGGGAAACGUCGUUGUCAAGCCCUUCGGCCACGUGAGCUCUAAGUCGCCACGAAUUGGCAAUCCCUACUUGCGAGGAGGGAAUGCAUCCACGGAGGGUGUCAGACCCGUGUGGGCGCGUGUCAAUGCCGAAUGGGAUCGACGUUUCCCUGAGAGUCGCGUUGCUCGGUCAUGCAGCGCUAAGCAGGUCGUAAACUCGAUCUAAGGCUAAACAUUUCCACAGGACCGAUAGUGAACAAGUACCGCAAGGGAAAGUUGAAAAGCACUCUGGAGAGAGAGUCAAAAGACCGUGAAACCGCUCAGAGUAUAAGCCAAUGGCGCUUGGAAGGCAUCCGCUGUGGGUCUCGCCUUUCCUUUCGGGGAUUGCGUGCGAUUCGAUGGCAACGUAAGAGGUUCGUGAUGGCUCUAAGCAUUAAGUUGCGGUGGGCCGACGAGUGGGGAAUCGCGGCUGGGUUGUGGCUCGUGGCUUCGUGCCGCGCGGUUGCUCUCGGUCGUCUCCUUAAACUCGGCACGUUCAAGCCCGUUGUCUGAAGCGGUUUUGCCCACCACGACGCGUUGCGAGGUCACCCACAGGCACGAGUGUCGGUUGCGUGUUUGGUCUCGUUGGCAUUGAUGGUCCAAGGGAGUGACGACUGUGUCGCUCAUGACCUGCCUCGAGAUCGACCGGACGACGAAUAUGGUGUCCUGGUAUGAUCCUCAGGCGACGAGUCGCUUCUGGCCCUGUGGUGCGUCAUUCAACUCGCAGAGCUCAUGUGCCGAGUCCGAGUAUUUGCGGAUUGGGACAUUGCGUCCUUCCGUGGGAUGACGAAUCACCAGAGUGGUGUUAAAGUCCGGCGCCAUCGGUCACGUCUCGAAACACGGGCCAAGGAGUAUAGCAUGUGUGCAAGUCUAAGGGUGUCCCAAAACCCGAAGGCGAAGUGAAAGCAAGGUUGUGGCGAGCGAGCGUGUCCCGCACGCGUUCUGCGUGUGCGCGGGUAGGCGGACUUGUCGGCUGUGCGGAGCACUAGAGCUCGUCUCGUGUGACUCUCGCGGCUUUUUGUGGACAGAGCUGAUCCCACCUAGGGCAUUUGUGUGCUUGUGGUGGGCGCAAGCUCCGGGCUCGCAUUGUCGGCGGUCUCUUUGUGGGCUGCCGCGCGGGCACCGUGAAGCAUGCAUGCUAUGACCCGAAAGAUAGUGAACUAUGCCUGGCGAGGGCGAAGCCCCAGGAAACUGGGGUGGAGGCCCGUAGCCGUUGUGACGUGCAAAUCCAUGGUGUCAGCUGGGCAUAGGGGCGAAAGACCAAUCGAACUAU